rnacentral:lncRNA from 1 species
GCAGCUGCUUCUGCGCUGAAGUGGGAUCCAAGUGAUUUUGCCGAGGUCGUGGCAAGAGUCAGCAGCAGAAGUAAGAGCAGAGUGAAAUCUGAGGAUUCCCAGGACUUUAGCUGUACAGUCUUAGUAAAAUCAUCCACUCCUUCACCAAAACAGCCCUUCACUGUACCGGGGAAAGCAGACUCCAAAACGCAGCAACUGAGCAAACUGUCUGUGCUGGCGGUUGCAAAGGGCCGCCGUCCGCCAAGUGCAGCUGCUGCAAAUAGGGCUCCGCCGGCGGCCCGCCUGCCGCUCCGCUGUACGCACGGAAACCGGAAGAAGAAUAACUUUAUUGUGUGUGGUUUUUUUUUACAUGUGUUCAGUAUUUGUCCUGCGCGACACGUAAUAAGCUUCCUAAAUAAAGUUACCUGUAUAUACAUACCUACAAGGAACCUGUCGCCGGCGACUCGCUGUCGGCAAAGGCAGUUCUACCCUCGCCUAGCUGCACGUAGCAGGAGAGCUGGAAACACGGCGGGGUCCCAGGGGAGCCGGGUCCUCGCUGACCCCCUUGGCUUGUGCGGACGGUCGGUCUUGUUUUGCCCCUCGUUCUUCAAACCCGGCCUCAAACGUGCCCUCCCUAAAAGCAGCACACGCUCUUCGUGUGACGCUUCCCCUUCUCAACAGGGCAAUUUUCUCUCUCUAUACUUUUUUUUUGCCUGUUGUUCCCCGUGCUCUUUCCUGCCCCAGAAAUCCUCGGGGCUAAUGAGCACCUCGUUAAUACAGGCAUUCAUUGACGGCGUAAUAAACACCGCAGCCGUGCCCGUUUCCAGGGGUACCAUUUCUACAACAGGCUCCAGGCGUCGCAGCAGCAGACCGAGCGCGUUUGCCCUCCCGGCAGUUCAGCUCCACUGCAAGAACCACGGCAGUUUUCCCCCUGCCCAGACCACCGGCCCGGUGGCAGAUUUUCCACGGGGAACCAGGGUUUUUGGUCCCUCUCCAAGCUGCCGCCACGCCGCUGCUCGGUCCCGGCGCCGCGCUGCUUCGCUGGGAUGUGCAAGGGCUCUUGGGCAUCCCGGGGCUCUCCAGAGGCAGCUUUCCACGGCCAGACCUCUUCUCAGCUGCGGGAGCUUUUCUGAGCCGACGUCAGCAACCGCUGCAGGAACGCGGACAGGUUCGGCGCGGCGGAGAGCAUCCCCGGCUGCCAGCCGCCCGCGGGGCCGUUCC